UAUUCUUUUAGUUUUAAAAGACAAGUAAGAAAUAAAAACUUUUGUCCUAUACCCAAUAAAUAUCUCAAAAAGAUCAUAAAAACUACUCAUUACCACUUUCCUUAUUUAACCAAAAUUUAAUAUCCAUAAAUUCAAACCAAGGAGAUGAGAUAGUUUUUUGAGUGAAAGAGAAUAAAAUUUAUUCACUUUUUGUUACAAAGAUUUUUCUCUCCUAAAGAGACGUUGCUUACUAUGGAUUGAUACCCUCUUUUAGUUCCCUUUAAUCAAAAAGAUAUAUUGAAUUAAUAAAGAAUCUUUUCCCCUUUAUGAUGUCUUAAUGAUAAAUAAAAAAGAUAAAAAAAGACAAAAAAAAUUUCUUAACCAAAAAGAGUGUUAUCGAAAUCAUUACCAAUCUUUAAAGAUAUUAAACAAGUUCAAUAGAUUGAAAUAUCAACAAUUGUCAAAGAUAUUCAAUAAACUUAUCACAUUAAAAUAUGUGACGUCUCAUUCCUAGCUUCCUGGAAACAGUUGCCAACCAAUUGAUCCAAAACAUGCAGCCAAAAAAUUUCAUUCAUAUGCAGCAAACUACAUACAAAUAAAUAUCUCUUAUUUUGAAAUUUUAAAUAUAAAAUUCCAUUACAUGAGAUAGUUGAGCCACACAAAUUUAAAUACAUAAAUUUAUAAUAACUUCUAUCGAAUAAUUUAAACCCAAAGCUAUGAGACUCUUCUCACACCGUUAUUUAUUUGUCCCUAUCAAGGUACCCUAACUUGAAAAGACAAUCUGGAUUGGGGUGAUUUUCAGGAAAACUCAGUAAAAAAUGCAAUACUAGCAGGCCACAGUAAUGUUUUAAAAUCUUUUUGAUACAUUUUAGUGAAGACUAUUUAUAAAAUGCGAUGUGAUCUUUUAUGAAAAAUAUUUUAUUCAAUAAGCAAUAAUAAUCAAUCAAUCAAUUAAUCCAUCAAUCAACCCCUAUCCUACAAUCCCUACUCUACAAUCGAUACCAUAUAAUCCCCAAAACCCCAUUGCAAAUGCACAUGCACAUGAACAUGCCAUCAAUCACACGCAAGCUCUACACACGCACUCGGACUGACACUGACACAAUUACUCUGACUCUUCUUCUUUAUUAAGUCUUUUAUGUUCAUUCCAGAAAUACUGAAUACUGGUUUCAGCCUAAAAUCCAAAUAUCAGCACCCACACUCUGGUCGAGUCCCCAAGUAAUAAAAUCAGGCCCUUAAGGAAAUUAAGCAAAUCAGAUUUUACCAAACUGCUUGGUUGAUUUAAGUUUUAUUAGAUAGUUAACUCGUUUUCCUUUUUCGACACAACCUUUAAGAUAUCUUAUACCUAAUCAGUCUAACUCUACUUUAUUUCCCCUAUUUCCUUCUCUUGUUCUUUCCACCCUCACUGGUCUUUCCCCGAAUCAUAACCUAACCCUUCUUCCAUUUUUUCUUUUUACGAUUCAUACAUUCCAAUACAACUCAUUUUAAUUCCUUUAACAAUAAUGAUAUUUCCAAUUCAAUCAAUCAAUAAACAAGAUAAAUAUAACAUACAAAAAAUAAAUAGAAAUAACAAACAAAUUUUCAUUUAAGCCUAAAUUCUUCUAGAUGACCUUAAUCUAUUUAUUUUAUUUCUACACUGACACAAUUACUCUGACUCUUCUUCUUUAUUAAGUCUUUUAUGUUCAUUCCAGAAAUACUGAAUACUGGUUUCAGCCUAAAAUCCAAAUAUCAGCACCCACACUCUGGUCGAGUCCCCAAGUAAUAAAAUCAGGCCCUUAAGGAAAUUAAGCAAAUCAGAUUUUACCAAACUGCUUGGUUGAUUUAAGUUUUAUUAGAUAGUUAACUCGUUUUCCUUUUUCGACACAACCUUUAAGAUAUCUUAUACCUAAUCAGUCUAACUCUACUUUAUUUCCCCUAUUUCCUUCUCUUGUUCUUUCCACCCUCACUGGUCUUUCCCCGAAUCAUAACCUAACCCUUCUUCCAUUUUUUCUUUUUACGAUUCAUACAUUCCAAUACAACUCAUUUUAAUUCCUUUAACAAUAAUGAUAUUUCCAAUUCAAUCAAUCAAUAAACAAGAUAAAUAUAACAUACAAAAAAUAAAUAGAAAUAACAAACAAAUUUUCAUUUAAGCCUAAAUUCUUCUAGAUGACCUUAAUCUAUUUAUUUUAUUUCUACAUUAUUAAAAUUUUAAAUUAUCUAUUUUUUGUUCCAAUUUUCUAUUUUGGUUUUCCUAAUUUUAUUUAUCUAUUUACGUAAUUACAUUCUUAUUUUUUCUUCUUAUUUAUUUUCCUAAUUUUAUUAGUUUCUAUUUGCUUCUUAUUUUUAGGAUUAUUUAUCGAAUUAUUUACUUAAUUAAUUAUUUAAAAUUUAUCAUUAUAAAUAAUAAAUUAGUUCCUAUUUUGGGUUUGUAUGCUGUUUGUUGACUUCUGGAUCAAAAAUAAUUAUUAACUCUUAUCUACUUUAGUUGUUUCUGGGUCAGAAGCCCAAUAAGACAACCCAUUUGGUUAAUUUCCAACUACUUCUAAUUUAUUCCUAUUUCAUUUUGUUUUGAAUUUGUGUAACACCUUAAAUUAAGUUUUAUUUUCUUUCCCAUCCUUUAAUUUGCCUAAAAAUAUUCACUUCUAGCCCAUUUAAAGAAACUUGGCCCACCAGUAUUUAAUUUCCCUAAUAACCCUUCAUACG
rnacentral:lncRNA from 1 species